rnacentral:rRNA from 1 species
CACGGGGGGAGCAAGCGUUGUUCGGAAUCACUGGGCGUAAAGCGCACGUAGGUGGUCUGUUAUGUCGGAUGUGAAAGCCCUCGGCUCAACUGAGGAAGUGCAUCCGAAACUGGCAGGCUUGAGUAUGUAAGAGGGUCGCGGAAUUCCCGGUGUAGAGGUGAAAUUCGUAGAUAUCGGGAGGAACACCGGUGGCGAAGGCGGCGACCUGGGACAAUACUGACACUGAGGUGCGAAAGCGUGGGGAGCAAACAGG